AAUGGCAGGUACAGCGGGAAGCCAUAUGGCGACAUAGAGNGGAACCCGAAAACCUGUCUCAGUUCGGAUUGGAGUCUGCAACCCGACUCCAUGAAGCUGGAUUCGCUAGUAAUCGCGCAUCAGCCACGGCGCGGUGAAUACGUUCCCGGGCCUUGUACACACCGCCCGUCAAGCCAUGGGAGCCGGGGGUACCUGAAGUGCGUGACCGCAAGGAGCGCCCUAAGGUAAAACCGGUGACUGGGGCUAAGUCGUAACAAGGUACC
rnacentral:rRNA from 1 species